CCUCCCAGAGGAAAGACAGGCGUGACGUGGGGCUGUUGGUUUGAUUUGCUCCCAGUGACUUUGCCUAUUGUUGCUGAGUAAGAACAGGAACAGCCAGAUAAACACCCGCUGGCUUUUAAACCCAACCAGGAAUGCAGCUCGCAACAACCAUCACGCAGCCCUGUCUGUACAGGGCCUUGGUAUCCAUGUACACCCGACACCCGUGCAUCUCAGCCCACACGCAUGCCGUCCUCCUUCCUCCAGCAUUUCCCUCCCACGCUGAUGCAUGUGGCCCACUUCCAUUUCACCCAGGCUGCAUCAGAGCCCCCUUCCCCCACAUUCAGACUCUGGGAUGGAGACUUUAUAGGUUCUCGUACAACGCUUUCUCCUUCUGGAUGUCGUCCUGGGCUAUUUCGCAAUGAUUUCUUGCUUUCAUUUGCUCGCUGGCUCCAACGAUUGUGUUUAGUAAAUGUAUUCUAAUGUAGUCACCUUUCACCUCCCGACUAGACGCCUAUUGAUCCAGUAUAGAUCCCAACGAAAGGCUGUUAUGAAAACAAACGCGCCCCGGCUCUAUCAGCACCGUCAACAGCUUCACUGGAGAGAACGGGAUCUGGGAAUGGAGGCUUCUGGGAUGGCAGCUAGCAGCAGAGGGCACUCUUGCCAACCUUUAGUGUUCUGUUCAUAGCAUACACCCAGAGAAGUUGGAUAAAAAUCUAAAAUACUCUUGCUGGAAGCCUGCAAUGCAACAUGACUGUCAAUCUUGGAAUUCAGAAUGGCCCUCAAGAACCCCAAAACAGAGAGAGACAAAGCAGGCUGCUCCCUAGGGCCCAACUCAGCCCACCUUACUCUAGGCUGGUUCUCUGCAGACUGGUUGCACAGGGCCCAGAUCACACGACCCUUAGCGUUCGAGCAGGACCAGGAAAUGUGAUGUCUUGUAAUUUUAAGACAGCUUUCAGCGUACCAUGACGAGCUGCUCAGUCGGAAAGGAAUCACAAAGGCUGAAGUACGAGGGAUGGAAAUGCCUUCUUUUUGCCGGCUUGAUCACCGUGGGAGAGCAGCCCCGAGGGCUGAGAGUACAGAGGAUGGCCAUGCUCCCUGGGGUCAACACAAGACAUGCUGAGACGGAUUAAUAAAAUGUCUUAAGCACCCGAGUAACCAAAGAAAAUUGUCUUAUUCUCAGAGCCUGUGACUCUAGAGAUCUGGGUUCAAUUCCCAGCUCUGCCACAGACUUCCUGUGUCACUCUGGGCAAGUCACUUAAUCCCCCGUGCCUCAGUUUCCCCCUCAUCUGUAAUAUAAGGCUGAUAACACCAAAGGGUGAUGGUACCAAAGGACACAUUCAGCAGUGGUUGUGAAGGGCUCAGAUGAUGCAGCGAUGGGUGCGGCAUAAGUAUCGAGAGAGAGAGAGCAAGUACUGAAAGGACCACGCUGCAGAAGCGUGCUGCAGAAUGUGAAAGUGGAUGACAGGAAAAGACUGUGGGUGGAGUAACUCCUCACCCAGGUCACUGAAGAAGCCACUCGGGGGCUGUUGGAAGGCAGGGCCUGCCAGUUCCUGACAUCUACCGUAUGUUACUUGCACCCUCCGGUGUCCAGCUCUGCUUGGGUGGGAGGGCUGUUUCAGUGCCAUAAAACACUCUGCUUUCUGACAGCUGUUUCCUGCCGGAGCUGCAGUUGGUGAGGAAGAAGGGAUCAGUUUUCGAUGGGAGACCCCUUACACGUUUUUAGACUGGAGAGCUUCCAUUGGCCCAGUGGAAGGAGCCUCCGGAAAAAUACAGCAGGGGUCAGGGAGCUACUGGACAAAGCGACUGCACUCCGGAUACUGCAGUGUCUCUUGCUGCCUGGAGGCAUCUCCCCCAGAGGCAAUGGAGAGGUAACCCACAGGAGAAAGAAGGCUCCUGGAAUAUGCUGCGUGGCUGCCAAACAUCAACAUGUGCGACCAUAAAACGCAGCCCCGGGAAGCGGAAUGCGAUAAUCUCGGACCUGAAAUGGUGAGCCAUGGGAGGUGAGAGAUGGAAGAGAGAGAGCUCUUUCCAGGGUGAAAAGAAGCACCAUUCAUCAGUUCCAAGGCCAGCAGGGACCCCGUGAUCAUCCAGUCUAAUCUCCCGCGUAACACUGGCCAGAGAACUUCCUCAGAACAAUCCCUGUUUGAAUCAGUGCCGAUCUUUCCCCAAACUGUCCAAUCUUGAUUUAAAAACGGCUAGUGAUGGAGAAUCUGCCAGAGCCCUUGGGCCUUUGCCAUGAUCACCUCUCCACCAUCUCACUAACCCCUGUCUGGUGCUGAUCUCUCCAUCUCCUUCACCACCCCAUCCGGCCUGCCACCACCCCCACCGUCGUCAUCUUUGCAGCCCUAUGCCGACACAUCACGAAGCAACCUCUUGGUUCGCCUUAAACAAAGGAGUGAUUUCCAGGGAGGGGGAGAGAGCUAGCCAGCCUGGAUGCUGCUCUGCCACUCCCCUUCUCAGCAUCGCUUUGUUGCUAGAGGAGUUGUUAAAACGCAGGUGCAGGCUAGAACAUGAAUUGCAACAGUGCACUUGUGUCUGUUUCCAGGCACCAGGUGUUCUAGUUAGUCCAUGUGCCACAGAAUUGUAUAAUUAACUCUUCAGCUGCUGAAUAAAAAAUAUAGU